UGUCAAUGAAAUUACUCUUCCUAAGGUGCUAUAUUUCAUCACAGUGUUUGUUACAUGGUGUAAAUUUACACACACAAGUGGCAGCAAAUACAACACUGUUGAGAGGGUAUUUCUGGCAUUACAUUGAUAUUUCUUGUACAAUGAUGGACUCACUGCAUAGUGCCACAUGCAUAGUGGUCCUAGUGAGAGAGGCUAAUAACAUAAAUGAAAUUCUUUGGCUGUAUGUAUCAGCAUUGUACAUUAACACUUGAGGGCUGCAAUAAAAAGGUGUUUGUUGCAAAAAAAAAACGGUGUUUUGAUGUGUAUUGUCAGGUCUGCAUAAGGGGGUAUUUCAGUCCACUCAUUGUAUAUAAUGUCAGAUUAUACACCUAGCUAUGAUUGGUGGAUGAUGUCCCACUCUUAUCCACACUAGGGCAACACAAUGAUAGUAGCAGCAACAAUGAGUGCACUUGCGAGAGCCUAUAAUGAGUUUUUGAGCUGAAAAAUAGAGUGAGGUCUCAAGAGCUUAAUGUUAACAAUGAUUUUAGAGAGGUUUCUUGAUGAUUUGAGCAGCAUCUAUUCUCUAAAUUCAUCAUGAAGAAGGUGCUGAUUUAGUAGAGGGUACAUGUUGUAGAUUUCUAGUGCAAGAAGGAGGUCUUGGAGGUCUAAAAUUGCUGUGGUUGUUUCUGUGAUCAAAGCAAGGCUUGAGCAUGUGUAUUUGAGGCAUUUAAAUCUGCAGAAGAGACUUGCAUUGCCACACCUGAGCUGUAUCACCAUUGAGAGGCUAUAUUUCGGAUUUUUAAAGGAGUGAAGGCUGUUCUAUUUCUUCAUUGCUUCACCUUGCCGAUUUCAUCGAGUUUCUCUCUCAAGCAAGUUUAUCUAAGCCUGUGAUAGCUGUGGAAGACAUUUGCAGGUCAUUCUAAUGGCUGCACUGUGAAGUGACUACUAUACCCUUGAAUUUAGGGUUUUUGCCUAGUGUGAUCUACAUUGGUCUACCUUGCUUUUCUUAUUAAGGAAUUCAUUCAAGCAAGUGUAUUUUACUUAGACAAGGCUGUGGGAACCUAGCUUGAGCAUCAAGUGAAGCUAUAUUGUGCUUUUAUAGUUCUAUCCUUUGAUUGCAGAGAAGUGAAGACUUGGGUUUCACAUUGUUCUACUUGAGGCUGUGUAUUGCAUUCUUUUAUUGUUGUUGUUGUAGCUGAAGUAGUAUUUUCUUGAAGUAUUGACAUCUUACUCCAUUUUUGAUUUA